GCAACCGUGGCCGCGUGUUUAAGGCAGUGGUCUUGAAAUCCUUUGGGUUUCAUCCGCACAUGUUCGAAUCCUGUGAGCUGCA